ACGCUCGACACCUACGGGGGGCAGCAGUGGGGAAUAUUGGGCAAUGGAGGAAACUCUGACCCAGCAACGCCGCGUGAAUGAUGAAGGUCUUCGGAUUGUAAAGUUCUUUUCUAAGGGAAGAAGAAAGUGACGGUACCUUAGGAAUAAGCCUCGGCUAACUACGUGCCAGCAGCCGCGGUAAUCUGAGGCGGGCUGGCAAGGC
rnacentral:rRNA from 1 species